UAUGGGGGUUGCGGGCUUCCUGAGAAGUCAGCUCUCCUUAAAUGCAUUAGCAGAACCUUGGUUGAUGACUAGCUCUGGUGUGAUAAUUAUCUACGCCAUUGUGAAAGCAACUUUAUUAUGGGGUUUGGCUUCUAACUGUCUUAGGACAACAUUUCAUGAUAUUUGACCUCAAAUCAGGUAGGACUACCCGCUGAACUUAA
rnacentral:misc_RNA from 1 species